rnacentral:lncRNA from 1 species
CUCUUGGGCUCCAAAGCCAGGCUUCAGGCUCACCUCUUUCAGGAAGCCCUCAAGAACCCCCCAGGAGCUGUGUGUGUCUGUGUGUCUGUCUACCUGGCAAGGAGAUAUGGCCCCCAUCAGACUGGAGCUCCACAGAGCAGAUGGAGUCUGGAUCUGUCACGCAGGCUGGAGUGCAGUCGCGCGAUCUCAGCUCACUGCAACCUAUGCCUCCCAGGUCAAGCGAUUCUCCUGCCUCGGCCUCCCAAGGAACUGGAACCACAGGCGCGCGCCACUGCGCCCAAGGAUUUUCACUUUUAACUGUACAGUGAAGCACAGACUUCUGAGCCAGACUGCUUGGUCUGAACUCUGGUGUCACCACUUAGUAAGUUCUGGUUUGAAUGUACUCACUGAGUGGUCUUCAUAAAUUACCUCUCUGCACUUGAGUCUCCUGUCUGUAAAAUGGGGAUAAUAAUCAUUACAACGAAGCCUCAUAGGAUUCUGGUGGAGACCAAAUGCAUUAAUACAUAUGCAAAGCAUUUGGAACAGCUGGCAUAUAUAAGUGCCAUAUAUCUAUUAUUAAAAAUUUUUAAAUUAUAGAAUGGAUUAAUUUUUGGAUUUUAUAAGCAGAUUCCGCCCCCCGCCCCGCCUUAAAACUGUUAUGAAAAAGCAAGAAAGGCCAGGUGCAGUGGCUCACGCCUGUAAUCCCAGCACUUUGGGAGGCCAAGGUGGGCGGAUCACGAGGUCAGGAGUUCAAGACCAGCCUGGCCAACAUGGUGAAACCCUGUCUCUAGUAAAAACACAAAAAUUAGCUGGGCGUGCGGGCACCUGUAAUCCCAGCUACUUGGGAGGCUGAAGCAGGAGAAUUGCUGCCACUGCGGAGGUUGCAGUGAGCCGUGAUUGCGCCACUGCACUCCAGCCUGGGAGACAGAGCAAGACUCUGUCUUGGGAUAAAAAAAAAAAAAAAAAAAGAAAAAAGAAAAAGAAAAAGAAAAAGGAAAGGGGAAAAUUUUUUUUUAGACGAAGUUUCGCUCUGUUGCUCAGGCUGGAGUGCAGUGGCGCCCUCUUGGCUCACUGCAAGCUCCGCCUCCCGGGUUCACACCAUUCUCCUGCCUCAGCCUCCUGAGUAGCUGGGACUACAGGCGCCUGCGCCUACGCCCGGCUAAUUUUUUGUGUUUUUAGUAGUGACGGGGUUUCACCAUGUUAGCCAGGAUGGUCUCGAUCUCCUGACCUCAGGUGAUCUGCCCGCCUCGGCCUCCCAAAGUGCUGGGAUUACAGGCGUGAGCCACCGCACCAGGCAGGAAAAAAAUUUAACAAAGAAAAAAAGGCUGGGCGUGGUGGCUCGCACCUGUAAUCCCAGCACUUUGGGAGGCAAAGGCUGGAGAAUUGCUUGAGGUCAGGGGUUUGAGACCAGCCUGGGGAACAUGGCAAGACACCAUCUCUAAAAAGCAGAAAUAGAAGAAAAAUACAAAAAGGGGGAAAAAAAUAAAGGAAGGGCCUAAAGCCUAGGCCAGCCUACUUCUGCCACUUUCCACGUGAGCUUUGGACCAGUCCCUUACUCUGUGUCUGGGAACCUGUCUUCUCAUCUGUAAACCAAGUGAGCAUCUUUCUCUACCUCAAAGAUUGUUCUGAAGAAUAAACGCCUCAGGGAAGUGUUUAAUAAAUGAUGGCGAAACCCACGUAUCUGAGAGCCACAUUGCCUUGAUGCAUUCUGGGAUCAGGUGUGGCACUGGGGCGGUGGUAGGGCCCUGACCUCUGAAAAGAACGGAUCAAAACAGGGUGUGCCCCAAACCUGCACCAUACACUGUGCAGGGUCUUUGCUGCCCUUAACUAAGGGCACAGAGAACCUUCCAUCCCAGAGGCCCUGGUCCAUCUCCCGAGUCUGGUCUCCAAAAUACACCACAGCCUGCCUCACCCCUUACUAAGCAGCAGGCCCUAGGCUGAAACCCCUCCCCUUCCUGAGCGCCCAUUCUCUUGCUGCCCCUCCGUUCCCAUCUCCUGGAGCCCCUGUUCUCACCAAGCCUUCCUACCAUCACUUCCCUCUCCCUAUGCCCCUCUCUUCAUAGUGAACCCCCAUCUUCCCUUCGAGUUAAGGGGCCCCUUCACUGUGCCAUAAUCAACCCGUCAAACUCCCACUUCCUUCCUGGGUCUCCUCUCUCUGCCCCAGUUCCAAAGCCCUGGGGCCCACAACCCUUCACUGCCCUUCCUCCCCUUCUCAAGACCUAUCUCAUGUUGAGCCCCAGUCCCUUCCACUGAGCAAUCCACCACUGUCUCCUCCCCUCCCCGAAACCUCCUCUGGGCCGCCACUCCUCUGAGCCCUCAGCCGGACUCACCAGGCCCCACUCUGAUUCCCUUGAAGCCAACUGGGCCCGGCCUGCCCCACCUGGACAGCCUCCCCGAGUCUCUUCUUCUUCCUCAGCAGCCGCUGAACACAGGCAUUUUCUCCCUGCGGGUGAUUCUUGAGGCUGAACACAGGUUUCUCUGCGGUUGGCCUAUCUGAGCCUCAUCCACUGCUUUCUCUGAUGCUGCCCACCCGCUCCAACCAGCCUCCACCUUACCCAGAGUGACCUUGCCAAAGCCCUCUCCCCUCCCUAAACACAGCGUGUGCCCAACAGAGCUAACUGCUUGUGGCUCCUGCCUCCUGUUACCCUUUCGCAUCUCUAGGCCUUUGCACAUCCUCUUCCUCCUCCAGGAACUCCCUCACUUUUCUGCCCAGCACCUUAGGCUUGGCUCUGUAGAAGCUUUCUCCUCAGAGAAGCCCUCCUCCCUAACUCUCAGGGGGUCUCACUGCUUCUUGCCCCCACUUCCAGCUCAUAUUGCAUCGUUAGCUUGAGUGUAGUGUUGUCUUCCCCGUCAGCAGUCAGGAAGCGUGGGGUAAUGUCUUCAUCUCUGAGUCUGGGGGAUGUAGGGAGGGGGCUUGGUGGGUGGAUGAGCUUUUUGCAUCUAGCACAGAGGCAACAGUUUCAGGGGACUGUGACCUGAGUCCUCCUGCCUCUUCCAGACAGGUGUGCCCAGAAGGUGUGUUUCCUCCUCAGACCACGGGCUCCUCUGACUCUCCUGAGGCCAGGGCCUAGCUGGCUGGGUCAGGGAGGGCAGGCCCCGUGGCACGAUCCCUUGGCAUCUCCCUGAGCUUCACUGAGGAGGGACGUGAAGCCACACUCAGCAGAACUUAAACAUAAAAUGGGUCUAUGGGAAAAACUGCUUCCCAAAGACCAGGGAGGCCAAAGUGGGCAUCAUUUGGGCAAGGACACCCAAGAGGUCCCCAAAGUCAGGGAUCAGGAAACAGCUCAGCUCUUCCAGGCCCACCAGACGCAGGCACAGGGUUAGGAGUUUUCUUUUUCCAAAGUUUACCAAAGCAGGGAGGAAACAUU